AAACUUUUGCCAGUAUGUGUGCGAAUAUGUUCACAAUUCCAUGAGUUAAGAACCACAACAUACAGUGAAUUUGUACCCAAUUACCUUUCAGUUGGACUUUCCAAAACAAGCUCGCAUCAUACCAAACACUCAGUUGUUCAUGAAAGAUUUUCCUCCCCAGAAUGGUCUGAUGCAUCCUUCAAAACCAGAUCCUCAUCACGGUCCUCAGAAAUAAUACAUGUUAACGCACAAGAUUUGAAAAAAAAAUACACAUCAGCUUCAUCAGACCGAGGUGCAACAGAACUUGUACCUGUUUCACAGACAGAGUUUGCAGAGUUCAAGAGCGCUGUAAUGGCAAACUUCAAGACAAUCCAGGAAAACCAGCGGCUGAUGUUAAGCUGCCUACAGUCUUCUUCCAGUGGGCUAGGGGAUGAUGUGGAGGAUGUACUGCCAGCUCCAGUAAGCAGCUUGGAGGAACUGGAUGACCUAAACUCUAAAUUGGCUGAUCAAUCUUUCAAAAGGAAUUUGACACUGUAUUUGUCAUCUUUUGGAGGGCACAGCCUUGGCGAUGCUGUCCGGAGGAUUUUUAAAAAGCUUGGAACGAAUUCCGUGUGGUCGUUUUACAGCCUCAAAGGAAAGAAAGGGAAGCUACCAUUUAGUGAUCUUCCCAUCUGCAAAGUUAUCAUCAGAGCAUGCAUGAGAACCUACAAAGAAGCAAAAACCUCUGCAGUGGAGCAUCAAAUUAGUGAGGCCCUGAAGCAUGCUCCUAAGAGGAAAGGUGGCCCAAAAUACAAGGAACCUGAGCAAAAGAGACGUGAGCAUUUUGUAGAAGAGUCAUCAAAUUCCUCUGACUAGCCGCAGUUGAAACGAGAAGAUGCCAUGGCUGCAGUCUUCUUCUUCCUCUGUUGACAUUUCCGGUCCACCACCAUCUCCUCCUCCAGCUGCCUCUCCCUGAUGCCCCCCUUCACUUCGUCCUGCCAGCGCAGCAGGGUCUCCCUCACCGGUGCCUGCCCUGCAACUCCAUGUCCAUCAUUCUCCUUCCCAUGUAGUCUUCAUCUCCUGAAUGGUACUUUUUUUGCUAAAAUAAAUUUCUCAUUU